rnacentral:rRNA from 1 species
CCUGGUGUCAAUGGCGUCAUGGCCCCACUCCGACCCAUCCCGAACUCGGUUGUGAAACGUGACAGCGGCGAAGAUAGUUGGGGGGUAGCCCCUGUGAAAAUAGCUCGAUGCCAGGU